rnacentral:lncRNA from 1 species
AUUCUCCAACCUUCCCGUGGAGCCACACCACCUCCUGUCUUGGCACUUCAUGAGUCCAAUGCUGUUUCCCGAGAGGAUCUGGUUGGUAGACCGUGACCUCGAUUCCUGCCUCUAAGCCUAGCUUUAUUCUCAGCAGCCACCACCUUUUUGGUACUAGAACAGUGCUUUUUAUAGUGCACUCAUCAGUGGAUGCUGAAAUCACAACCUGGCCAUUUGGAUGUUCAACUAAUGCUCUAUGCUGCAGAGUCCCUGCAACUCACCAACCUGUGCCGGAACUCACUGGAGCUCAGGUGGGAUUUCACCAGUGAGCCAGGGUGGUCUCGAACUGCUGACUUCACCAGUGAUCUGCAUACUUCAGCCUUCCAAAAUGCUACGAUUGUGGCUCACUGCAACCUCUGCUCCUGGGUUCAAGCAAUUCUCCUGCCUCACCUCCCAAGUAGCUGGGAUGGCAGGUUCCUGCCACCAUGCCAGUUUUUGUACCUUUAGCAGAGACGGUGUUUCACCAUGUUGGCCAGGCUGGUCUUGAACCCCCGACAUCAGGUGAUCCACCUGCUUCAGCCUCCCAAAGUGCUAGGAUAACAGGCAUGAGUCACUGUGCCCAACCUACUUGUUAUUACUACAUUGUAAUAUAUAAUGAAAUAUUUACACAACUCACUGUAACGUAGAAUCAGUGGGAGCCCUGAGCUUGUUUUCCUGAAACUAGAUGGUCCCUUCUGGGGGUGACCGGAGUCAGUGACAGAUAAAUAGGCACUUGAUUCUCAUAAGGAGCACGCAGUCCAGCUCCCUCACAUGUGCUGCUUACAGUAGGGUUUGCAUUCCUAUGACACUCUAAAAACGCCACCGAUCUGACAGAAGGUGGAGCUCAGGUGGUGAUGCCAGCAAUAAGGAGUGGCUGUGAACACAGAUAAAGCCUCGCUAGCCCACCCACUGCUCACCUGCUGUGCUGCCUGUCCAGUUCCUAACAGGUGAGAUGGGCACAGUGGCUCACGCCUGUAAUGUCAGCACAUUGGGAGACUGAGGCAGGUGGAUCACCUGAGGUUGGGAGUUAGAGACCAACCUGACCAACAUAGAGACAUCCUGUCUCUACCAGAAAUACAAAAGUUAGCCUGGCAUGGUGGCUCAUACCUGUAAUCCCAGCUACUUGGGAGUCUGAGGCAGGAAAGUCGCUUGAAUCUGGGAGACAGAGGUUGCAGAGAGUCAAGAUCAUGCCACUGCAUUUCAGCCUGGGCAACUAGAGCAAAACUCCCUGUCCAAAAAAAAAAAAAAAAAAAAAAAAGCCCGGGUGCAAUGGCUCAUACUCGUAAUCCCAGCACUUUGGGAGAAUGAGGAGGGAAAAUCACCUGAAGCAAUAAGUUUGGGACCAGCCUGGCCAACAUGGUGGAACCCUGUCUCUACUAAAAAUACAAGAAUUAGCCAGGUGUGGUGGUACAUGCCUGUAAUCCCAGCUACUCAGGAGGCUGAAUCAGAAGAAUUGCUUGAACCUCGGAGGUGGAGGUUACAUUUACCUGAGAUCGCACCGCUGCACAGACUGAGACUGUCUCAAAAAAAAAAAAAAACAAAAACAGGCUACAGACUGGUACUGAUCUGUGGCCAGGAGGGUUGGGGACCCCAGCUGUAGACAAUAUGUAAUAAUCAAAUCAGGGUAACUGAGACAGUCAUCACCUCAAAUAUUUAUCUUUUGCUUUGGGAACAUGAAAAUCCUUAUCUUCUAGCUAUCUUGAAAUAUUCAAAUAAAUUCUCAUUCACUGUAAUAUCCCUUGUGCACUAUUGAUUACUAUAACUUAUUCCUUCUAUCUAGGCCUUCUGGUCUUUCAUUCAUUCUUUUUUAAAAUUAUUUUCAUUUAUUUCCAAGACAGUCUCUUUCUGCCAGGCUACAGUGCAGUGACAUGAUCUCGACUCACUGUAACCUUCACCUCCUGGGUGCAGGCAAUUCUCCUGUCUCAGCCUCUCGAAUAGCUGAAAUUAGAGGUGUGCAUCACUAUUCCUAACUAACUUUUUUUUAUUUUUAGUAGAGAUGGGGUUUGACCAUGUUGUCCAGGCUGGUCUCAAACCACUGACCUCAAGCAAUCCACCCACCUCGGCCUCCCAAAGUGCUGGGAUUACAGGUAUGAGCCACAGCACCAAGCGACUUAUUCAUUCUUACAUUCAUCCAUUCAUUCUAUGAAAAACUACUGCCUGGUUACUAUAUACCCGGCAGGGUUCCAGGCUCUGGGGAAACACCAAUGAGCAAAACAAAGUUGCUGCUCUCUUAAUGGAUCCAUCAUUCUAAUGAGGGGGAAAGAGACAGGCGAUCCAUAAACAAAUCAUUAACACAGACAGCACAUCAGGUGGAGAGCGCUACGAAGAAUAAAAACUAAAGCGGGUACAGCCAGGAGCGGUGGCUCCCACCUGUAAUCCCAGCACUUUGGGAGGCUGAGGUGGAUGGAUCCCUUGAGGUUAGGAGUUCAAGACCAGCCUGGCCAACACGGUGAAAUGCCAUCUCUACUAAAGGUACAAAAAAAAAUGACCCAGGCAUGGUGGCACCUGCCUGUAAUCCUACUACUCAGGAGGGUGAGUUGGGAGGAUUGCUUGAACUUGGGAGGUGGAGGUCGCAGUGAGCCGACAUUGCAUCACUGUAAUCCAGCCUGGGGAACAGAGCAAGACUCUGUCUUCAACAAUAAAAAAGUAAAGAGAAAUCAGGUGCAGGUUAGAGUGCAUUAGCAUGAGCAGGGGUGCUCAGGCGGUGGUGAAGGUGGUCAGGAAAGGCCUCUCUGUGAAGGUGAUAGACAUGAGGGCUGAGCCUGGGGACUCCUGGGGAGAGCAGCAUGGGAGGGCCCUAGGUGUUGUUCCCAUUUGUGUUUUUUUUGUUUAGAUUUGAUUUGUUUUUGACACAAAGUCUUACUCCAUCGCCCAGGCUGGAGUGAAGUGGCACAAUCUCGGCUCACUGCAGUCUCCACCAACCGGGUUCAAGGCACCUCAGCCUUCCAAAGAGCUGGGAUGGCAGGCGUGAGUCACUGUGCCUGGCCUAUGCAUCAACGUGUUUAAAUUCUUCUGAAAGCUGUGUUUUAGGAAGAGUGUGCUGACAGCCAUCGGAAAUAAAUGACAGAAUGGCAGGACAAGGAUCACGUCAGUGACAGGGUGGCUGUGGACAUUUGCUGGCCAGCAGCAGGAAAGCCACUCAGACCCUGGAUUCUACCUCUGCAGCCUGUCUGCACCUGAACCCUCCUCCCCACAUCAGUGGAAGCCUGGAACUCUCAGAACAGCAGACCUCACCGGCUGCUGUCACCUUCACCAAAGUGAUGUGAUUAAUUCAUUCACGCAGAAGACAGCAGGAACCCUGAGAGAACAGGAUCCAGAAUGUCUGAGUUUUGAUGAACAGGGUGGUGGAAUCUGGGAGGCUCCACCUACCUCACCUCCUGAGCCCCACACUCCUUCCCCAGUCCUGCUCAGCAUAGAGACUAAAGUGACAUGACCAGAAAUGUAGAUGCUUAGAAGGACACCAGUGACAUAAAGAAAAGGAGACCAGAGUUCCACAAGGUGCGCAGCUCCUGACCUCGGAUGCACAGAACUCUGUCCAGAAAGGCUCACUCGCAGCCAUGGAACUUGAUGGUCCUCGAGUUCCUGAGGAUGGAGCUGGUGAGUCGGGCCCACAAGUCCUUCUGCCUCGUUUUCUCUCCUGGGAUUGGAAGGAAGAGAGAGAUGAAGACAUGGCUGGUCCGGAAUUCUCCCCUGCACCCUGACAGUCACCCUGCAGCAAGUCCCACUGAUCCCACCAACUGCAUCCCAAAGCUGUCUGCCUCUCUGCAUCUCUGACCCUCAGUCCUGAUCCAUCCACCAUCAUCCUGUUCCUGGACUCCUGCAGAAGCUGACCCAGGACCGCUGCCCCAGGGAGGGGCUUCUGAUGCCCAGAGAACAGAGGCUGCCCCUGAGCCCACCUGGGUAUAAUGCCAUCAGGAAGGCUACCUGGAGGUGGGUAAUACCUGAGCUACAUCUUUCUUUCUUCCUUUUACAUUUUUGGUGGAGUUGUGGGGUCUCACUCUGUUGCCCAGGCUGGCCUCAAGCUCUUGGGCUCCAGUGACCCUCUGCCCCUGGCCUCCAAAAGUACUGGGAUUACAACCUGAGCUACAUGUUAAAUGACCAGGAGGUGGGUGCUGGGCAGGCAGAGGAUGAGGGGAUGGAGCCUGGAAGAGGGAGUGAAGGCUCUGAGACAGGGGACAGCAAAUACCUAGGCAGAGGGAGCAGCAUGACUCAGAGGACACUCAGUGUGGCCAGAGGAGUGCAUGGGCAGCAUCACCUGGCACUUUAGGGUCAGGCAGGAGUUCGGGGUCUGUGCUUAACUGGGAGAGGGUCAUCAUCAGAAGGCAGCUGCCUCGGAAGGUAUUUUGUUAUUUUUUGAGAUAGAGUCUUGCUUUGUUACCAGCCAGGAGUGCAGUGGCGUGAUCUUAGCUCACUGUAACCUCUGCCUCCUGGGUUCAAGUGAUUCUCCUGACUGAGAUUCUGGAGUAGCUGAGAUUAUAGGUGCCUGCCACGAUGCUCAAGUAAUCUUUGUAUUUUUUAAGAGAGAUGGCAUUUUGUCAUGUUGACCAGUCUGGUUUCGAACUUCUGAACUCAGGUGAUACACCUUUUUCGAACCCCCAAAGUGCUGGGAUUACAGGCAUGGGUCACUGUGCCCAGAGGAAGCCAUGCAGGAGGCUGGCUAAGUGACAGAUGGACAUUAGGACAGCUG